GCUAGUUCCUGUCAGCAUUUCUCUCUUUACUAUGAGCUCAAGUUUGAGGGAAAGAAGAAACAGAUCAGGCGUUAGAUGAGUGGAGACAGACGGGGCAGACACAUAAUUUAAGCCAAGGAUAGAAGCUCCAUUCUUCUGAUCCAGUCCUCGUGUAUCAUGUUCUACUACUCUAGCUCAAAGCCUCUCUUACUGGUUGUCCUCAUCGUGCUGUUCAACGGACACAACUGGGCAGAUAAAGUGGUAGGAAUCAUUGGUCAUGAGAUCACCAUCCCCUUCUCAUUUCAUAACAUGUCCAAAGCAUCUGGUAAUGUGCAAAUUGGUCUUUACAAAAAUUCUAAAAAGAUCAGUGAAUGUAAUAAUGAUAUGCACAGCUGUUGCUCACAAAGCCACCUCUGCUUCUCUGGGAAGAAAGUGGCCUCUUUCUUCAUCCGAAAUCUGACAUCAGUUGACAACGGAACAUAUUGGAUCACCUUGUUCCAAACCAGUAGAGAUCCUCCCAUGCUACAAAGCAAUGAGGUGACGCUUAUCCUUCAAUCGGAUGGUAACACCACAGAAUACCCAUCAUGCACCUCUAACGCCGAAGAUGAUGAUAUCAGCGACAGUGGAAACGCCAACAAUGUCUAUGUCCUGAUCAUCUUUGCUGUUUUAGGGGUAUCCAUCAUAGCUCUGUUAAUCGGACUGCUUGGUUGGUUCUGCUGGACCUACAAAAGGAGCCCAGAGGGGGACCAGCAAGAGAACCUCAAGGCCAAGCAACAGGGGUCAAGAGAGGCGUCCACCUCCAUGUCUGUGUAUUCUGUAGAAUACGGCGUGCUGGACUUCAACCGUAGACCCAGUGGAGAAGAGGGGAACAGGCAUGGGAGGGAGAGGGAGGGAGGAGUGGUGAGGUCUGCAGAGACAGUGGAAUAUGCUGCAAUCACCUUUCCCCCACAACAAAGGGUGUCAUAUGGGAGAUAGUGAGUCAACUGAAACUCUCUUAAAUACAAACAGCGUUGCCUGAUUUGAACUGGAUUCUAUCAACAUAUGGAACAGUUGCUGAGAGAAUGAUGCUGAAAACGGUUGAUGUGUCACUCUGAGGUGAUAGAUACCGUAAGAAUGGAAAUACUGAAGAAAGGUGUUGAAUCACGUAGUCGCGUAUUAAUAAAAAACAACCUCCCUGUGUGGCUAUGCGUGACUGUACCCUACUGGAAAUACAACAACAACAAACCCAAAAAAUACGUUGUAGAUACAAUAUCCCAUUUGACUGUAACACAAAAUUGAAUUUUAACAUGUUUUUUAAAAUGUUAUUUUUUAUAAAGUCAUGGAACAUUAAAUUGUGUGGAAAAUUUCCGGUAGGGUUUGCACAGAUAAAUACACCUUUUAUAGGGUUUUUCUUUUUCACAAAGUGUCAUGUUGUUUAUUUACUCUGACACUAUUUGGAUUACCAGAAGUAUCUGGGGGGGAUUUUUUACAAAAGAAUUAGCAUGGUCCUCUGCAAUCCAACUAAGUUCUCAUUAAACACAGUUUACUUGACAGAUGUUUUUUUUUUCCAUCCCUCAAUGGUUUGAAAUUCACAAUGAUUGACAUACAUGUAUACUGGGAAAAUCAAGUUUCAAAUAAAUUAUUUUGCAUAAUAGGUGAUCAUAUCGCACGGAUUACAUUCUGAUCUAAUUCAGCUCUUUCACGGAUGUUGUUUUUAGACUUUCAAUGGCUCUAAUUUUAACAGCUUUACAGACAAAUGCAGUGCAUCAAGUGCUGUAAUCUUGACACGAUCGGUCUAGCUGACGCCUCGAAGCAUGGAGGAUUUGGAGGAUUUUCAUUUGGAUUGUAUCACUGGCAAUUGCUAUUAGGCAAUGUUUGUGCAGAGUUACUCUGUCUGUCUGUGUUCUUUUGCCCAUCUUAAUCUUUUCUUUUAAUUGGCCAGUCUGAGAUAUGGCUUUUUCUUUGCAACUCUGCCUAGAAGACCAGCAUCCCGGAGUUGCCUCUUCACUGUUGAUUUUGAGACUGGUGUUUUGCGGGUACUAUUUAAUGAAGCUGUCAGUUGAGGACUUGUGAGACGUCUGUUUCUCAACUAGACACUCUAAUGUACUUGUCCUCUUGCUCAGUUGUGCACCGGGGCCUCCCACUAUUUCUUGCAUGGGAUAGCCUUCAUUUCUCAGAACAAAAAUAGACUGACAGAUGCUCCAGAUACUCAACUAAUCUAAAGAAGGCCAGUUUUAUAGCUUCUUUAAUCAGAACAACAGUUUUCAGCUGUGCUAACAUCAUUGCAAAAGGGUUUUCUAAUGAUCAAUUAGUCUUUUAAAAUUAUAAACUUGGAUUA
ensembl:lncRNA uncharacterized LOC115151498